ensembl:snRNA U2 U2 spliceosomal RNA
AUCGCUUCUCAGCCUUUUGGCUAAGAUCAAGUGUAAUUUAAGCACUUAAUACUAGUCUUAAAUAUAUUUAGGCAUAUUUUCUAAUUGCAUUUUAAAAAUUACCUCGAGAAGGGGAGGGAAAAUUUAGGAUUACAGGCAUUGAUUUAAUGCAACUCAAAUCCAAAUAGGU